CAGUCGCCGCGGGAACACGGAGGGAGCUAGCGUUGUUCGGAAUUACUGGGCGUAAAGCGCGCGUAGGCGGUUACUCAAGUCAGAGGUGAAAGCCCGGGGCUCAACCCCGGAACUGCCUUUGAAACUAGGUGACUAGAAUCUUGGAGAGGUCAGUGGAAUUCCGAGUGUAGAGGUGAAAUUCGUAGAUAUUCGGAAGAACACCAGUGGCGAAGGCGACUGACUGGACAAGUAUUGACGCUGAGGUGCGAAAGCGUGGGGAGCAAACAGGAUUAGAUACCCCCGUAGUCCCUGUCUCUUAUAC
rnacentral:rRNA from 1 species